rnacentral:lncRNA from 1 species
GAUUAUACUGUGAGACCCUUGUCUCAAGAAAGAAAAGAAAAAGAAAGCAAAGAUAAACAGUAGAAAUUGUCACAUUUGAAAUUACAAACUAGAUGACUGUAAAUUUACUGGCAUACCAAAGGCCAAGCAGCCAAAAUGACUGCAAUCAUUCUUAAAAUGAAAUCUGUAAAAAGCUGAAAAAUCAGUAUGACCAUAUUAAAGAACCCAAGGGUGAAGGCAUUAAAGUGUACAGUUACAUCUUUAAGAAGCAAUAAACUGGCAUGAAAUUUUGUCUUUUAGAAAAAAUUCUCUAGCUAAAGCAAAAAUAGCCAAAAUUAAAAUUCCAUCCGUAACAACAGCUCAGUGCUAAGCAAGCACCUUAGCUGAGAGGCCCCCAAAAUCCACCCUUACCCGAGUUUACACAAGCGAAGAAAGAGGGAAGGCAGGCUGGGAAAACAAAGCCUUCCUUCUACAGCUUUUAACUUUAACAAACAAGGCUCUGAGAAAGCUGCCAGCAGCUGUGGGGGCGUGAGGUCUCCACUCACACCCAAGUAGCAGGCAGACUUGCUCCAACAGCAGUGAUAGCUCAGGAGUGAAGUCCAGUGGACUGCUCACCGUCCUCUGUUUACCCAGUCACUGCCCCCCCACCCCACCCCCAGCUCCAUCUCAUCUGAGGGACUGCCAUGGGCAGUGAGGAGGUGGAGUAGGGAGAACCUGCAAGGCCCAGGGAUCCAGUUGGUCAGCUUGAAACAGACUGCCCUACCAUUGCAAAAUUCAGUCAUUCUCCUCAAUUGAGAAUGCCCAGCUGUAGCCAGAGCCACCCUUCUGGGCUCUAAGCUCCAUGGAGAAACCUUGGCUCUGAAUAGGAGCAUCAGUCUCAGAAGUGGCAGAGUGCACACCUCUAAUCUCAGUGCUCAGGAUACACGGCAAGGGCAUCACCAAGAGACCAGUCAGGGCUCUGAAGACUUUGUUUCAAAAAGAAAAAAUAUAUAUAUAGGAAGUUU